rnacentral:tRNA from 1 species
AGCUGCGUGGCUCAGUGGAAAGAGCACUGGCUGGGGAGCCAGAGGUCAUGGAUUCGAAUUCCGGCUCUGCCA